rnacentral:tmRNA from 1 species
GGGGGCGAAAGGGCUCGACGGGGUAAGUAUAGGGUUAAACUGCAGGCCGUGGUUGCGCCCGCCACGUAAAAAAGGGUGCAAAAACACAACUGCCAACGAAUAUUCCUACGCUUUGGCAGCCUAAUCUGAUAGCUGCCACGUCCCUUAAGCUACUUGCCUGCGGUGCUUAAGGGGCGUGACCGAAGCAGGCUUUGGGUAUAAGCCUUGGUGGGAGGCUUAUACCCGAGAGAUAAUCCCACCUGGUAGAGAGCUUGGGUGCCUGUGACCGGCUCUCUACGAGAUGCAAACCACAGGCUAAGCCUGUAGGGGUUUAACCUGAGGCUUACCUCGGACGCGGGUUCGAUUCCCGCCGCCUCCACCA